GGAGGGUGCAAGCGUUAAUCGGAAUUACUGGGCGUAAAGCGCACGCAGGCGGGUUUGUUAAGUCAGAUGUGAAAUCCCCGGGGCUCAACCUGGGAACUGCAUCUGAUACUGGCAAGCUUGAGUCUCGUAGAGGGGGGUAGAAUUCCAGGUGUAGCGGUGAAAUGCGUAGAGAUCUGGAGGAAUACCGGUGGCGAAGGCGGCCCCCUGGACGAAGACUGACGCUCAGGUGCGAAAGCGUGGGGAGCAAACAGGAUUAGAUACCCUGGUAGUCCACGCCGUAAACGAUGUCGACUUGGAGGUUGUGCCCUUGAGGCGUGGCUUCCGGAGCUAGCGCGUUAAGUCGACCGCCUGGGGAGUACGGCCGCAAGGUUAA
rnacentral:rRNA from 1 species